CCGACGAUCCUCUUUCUCCCUCAUUCUUCCUCCUCGUUCCUUCUCUCCUUCCUCUUAAUUCAUUUCUCCUCCUCUAUGGUGGUUUUCUUAACCUCCGCCCAUUCAUCCACCACCACCUCCUCCUCUUCCUCCUCCUCCUCCCUCCUCUCCGAUUGAUCUUCUCAUUUUUCUCCGUUGCCGGUAUUCCUCUUGUCCCUCCUCCUUCCUUCUCUCUUCCUUCUUCAUCCAUUUUUUUAUCUUCCAGUGUCAUGAUCUGUCCCGGAACUUAAAACAGCAUCGGUGGCAGUGUUUUGAUUGCUUUCAUUAAGGCUGUAG
rnacentral:lncRNA from 1 species